AAACUUCGACGGGUCAUAACUUCUUCGUUAUAACUCGGAUUUCGGCGUUCCUUAUAUGCACGGAAACCUUGAGACAUAUUCUACAACUUUAUGUAGAGAUAUCGGGAUUAUCUCACACUUUAAUUUUGACGCUCAUUUUUAUUCUUUAUUAAUUAUACAUUUAUAAUUAAAUAAUAAACACAUAUAAUUCACAUAAUACUCAAAUAUUUCAUCUUUAUUACUUCAAAAAGAGUUACAAGAGUUGACCUAGACUAUUACAUUGACAAAAAUGCUUAGCCCUGAAACCCGGGCGUUACAAUUCUCUCCCCCUUAGGAUGAUUCCGUCCCGGAAUCAUGCAUCAGCAAACAGAUGUGGAUAGCGACUCAUCAUGUCAUCCUCUGUUUCCCAAGUGAGAUUCGGCCCAUUCGAAUGUUUCCAUCGGACUAGCACCAAGUCGACCAUCUUGCGUCGUAACUUCUUAGUCUUACGGUCAACAAUUGCCUCAGGCUCUUCGAUCAACCUUUUAUUUUCAUCCAUCCUUAACUCUGAGAUUGGAAUUAUGUCGGGAACAUCUCCCGUGAAUUUCCUCAAAUAACACACAUGGAAGGUGUUAUGAAUACCAUUGAGUUCUUCGGGCAAUUCCAGCUUGUAAGCUUGGUUCCCUAUCUUCUGAAGAACUUUGAACGGUCCAAUAAACCUUGGACUCAACUUUCCUCGUUUCCCAAAUCGUAUAAGUCCCUUCCACGGUGAGACUUUAAGCAAAACGGAAUCCCCAACUUCGAAAGUUAUCGGUCGUCUUUUCUUGUCAGCAUAGCUCUUCUGACGAUCCUGGGCUGCUAACAUCCUUUCCCUAAUCACCUUCAACUUCUCAGCAGUCUCAUGGACUAUCUCGGGGCCCAUAAACUGCUUCUCUCCGGCUUCAAGCCAACAAGACGGCGUACGACACUUCUGCCCAUACAAGGCUUGAUAAGGAGCCAUCUUGAUGCUCGAGUGAAAACUAUUGUUGUAGGAAAAUUCUACCAGAGGUAAGUGCUCGUCCCAAUUCCCUUGGAAUUCGAGGGUACAUGCUCUCAGCAUAUCUUCCAGCGUCUGAAUCGUUCUUUCGCUCUGACCAUCAGUUUGCGGAUGAUAAGCAGUACUCAAACACAACUUUGUACCUAACUCCUCUUGUAGACUCCUCCAAAACCUUGACGUGAAACGACUAUCACGAUCUGAUACAAUCGUAAGAGGGACACCGUGAAGUCUUACAAUUUCCUUCACGUAAGCAUUUGCGAGCUUAUCCAUAGACCACUUCUCGUUGGCUGCUAUGAAGUGUGCACUCUUGGUGAAACGAUCCACGACUACCCAAAUCAUGUCGUGACCGUUCUUCGUCCUGGGCAGUUUAGUCACAAAAUCCAUGGUGAUGUCUUCCCAUUUACCCAUGGGUACAGGUAAAGGUUCUAAACUCCCAUACGGUUUCUGAUGUUGUGCCUUAACCCUCGCACAUGUUACGCACUCGGCCACAUACUUCGCAACAUCGAGCUUCAUCGUCGGCCACCAGUAGUAGGGUUUUAGGUCCCUAUACAUUUUAGUGCUACCGGGAUGAAUCGAGUACAUGGUCUUGUGUGCUUCUUCCAUCAGAAGAUCUCUUAUUCCUCCCGUCUUAGGUACCCAAAUUCGAUCUUGGAAUACCUUCAGUCCUCGACUGUUUGUACCGAACACUAACGUUCUUCCCAAACGUUCUUCCUUUCGGUCAUUUUUCUCUAAAGCUUCUUCUUGAGCUUUCCUGAUACUUUCCACAAUCGUCGAGACGACUUCAAUUCUUAACGCUCUUGGCCUUUUCCUUUCCAGAUUGACUUUCCGACUGAGAGCAUCAGCAACAAUAUUUGCUUUACCUGGGUGGUAAAGUAUCUCACAGUCGUAGUCCUUGAGAAGUUCUAGCCAGCGUCGUUGCCUCAUGUUCAACUCCUUCUGAUUAAAGAGAUACUGGAGACUCUUAUGAUCAGUGAAGAGCUUGCACUUCGUGCCGUAGAGGUAAUGCCUCCAUAUCUUUAAGGCAAAAACUACCGCUGCCAACUCCAGAUCAUGAGUGGGGUAGUUCUUUUCGUGCUCUUUCAAUUGUCGAGAUGCGUAUGCUAUCACCUUUUCUCUUUGGGUCAGAACACAACCCAACCCGACUCCAGAAGCGUCACUAUAAACCGCGAAAUCUUCGACUCCAUCGGGUAGAGAAAGUAUCGGUGCUUCACAUAACUUCUUCUUUAGCUUCUCGAAUGCCUCAUCGUGUUUCUCACUCCACGUAUACGUAGCUCCUUUAUGAGUCAAAGCUGUUAAUGGAGCAGCUAUCGAAGAAAAGCCUUGGAUAAAUCGUCGAUAAUAUCCGGCUAAUCCUAGAAAGCUUCGAAUCUCCGUGGGACUCUUUGGACGUUCCCACUUCAUUACAGCCUCGAUCUUUGCGGGGUCAACCAUUAUUCCCUCCUGGUUAACAACAUGACCCAAGAAUUGGACUUCCCGUAUCCAAAAGUCGCAUUUGGAGAACUUUGCAAAAAGCUUCUCCUUCUUCAACACUUCUAAUACUUCCCGUAGAUGCUUGCCAUGCUCCUCUUGGCUUUUCGAGUAGAUGAGAAUGUCGUCGAUGAACACUAUCACGGAUUUAUCGAGGAAUGGUUUACAAACCCUAUUCAUCAAAUCCAUGAAUGCUGCGGGAGCAUUGGUUAGCCCGAAUGACAUAACCAAGAACUCGUAGUGUCCAUAUCUCGUUCUGAAUGCAGUCUUCUCAAUAUCCUGCUUUCUCACCUUUAGCUGAUGAUAUCCUGACCUAAGAUCGAUCUUUGAGAAGUAGCUCGAACCUUGCAGCUGAUCGAAUAGGUCAUCAAUCCUCGGCAAUGGAUACUUGUUCUUCACCGUUGCCUUAUUCAGCUCUCGGUAGUCUAUACACAUUCUCAUACUUCCGUCCUUCUUCUUCACGAAUAACACCGGAGCUCCCCAGGGUGAUGAACUAGGUCGAAUAAAACCGUUGUCCAACAGCUCCUGAAGUUGCGUCAUGAGCUCCUUCAUCUCCGUCGGUGCUAAUCGGUAAGGUGCCUUUGCUAUCGGUGUUGUUCCUGGUAACAAGUCUAUACGAAACUCCACUUGCCUAUCAGGUGGUAAUCCGGGAAGAUCUUCGGGAAAGACUUCCGGAUAAUCACACACAACCGGUAUAUUCUGCACCUCUUUCUUCUCCUUCUUGGCAUCGAUUACGAAUGCCAAGUAUGAUGCACAUCCUUUGGACAAACAUUUCCUGGCUUUCAUCAGGGAGAUGAUUCCAGAAUUCACUCUGCGUUUGUCCCCAUACACCAUAAAUGAUUCUUUUCCGGGUGGGUUUACCUUUACUAUCUUCUUUCGGCAUUGAAUCUCAGCAUCGUUGGCGCUAAGCCAAUCCAUACCCAAAACGAUGUCGAAACCGUUUAACUCUAUGGGUAAUAGCUCUUCGUGGAAUUCGUUUCCGUUUAGGUCAAUGACGAUGUUCCUAAUACGAUUACUAACAGGUACGAAUUUGCCACUGGCAACUUCUACAAUCAGGGCAUUAUCUAGUUUUUCUACAGGCAAUGCUAAUUUCCCACCAAAUUUAUGCGACACAAAGGAGUAGUUGGCUCCGGAAUCAAAUAGUAUAUUUGCAGGCAAACCAUUUACAAGAAAGGUACCUGAAGCGACGUCUGCUGCCUCCUUUGCAGCCUCGAGCGUCAUCUGGAAGGCUCUCGCCUUCGGCUUCGGUGGUAUGUUGGGUCUUCCUGUCUCCUUCUUCUUCGGGCAGUCCUUCAAAAUGUGCCCUUCUUCAUUGCACCCAUAACAGGCUUUCUGGUUGAGGGUGCAUUCAUUGGCGUAGUGCCCAGGCUUUCCGCACUUGUAACAAGUGACCCCUCCGUCACACUUCCCAGAGUGCUUCUUCUUGCACUUGUCACACCACUUCGCUUCUGAUCCUCCUCCCCUCGAACCAGACUUCGAGAAUCUACUCUUCUUGUUGGACUUCGAGGAUCCAUUGAACUUCCGUUUCUCACCAACCUCAGCCCUCUCCAGACCUCUUUCCUUUUGUUGGGUCUCCACGUUCUUAGCUGCUCGAACAGCUGAUUUCAGAGUGGUUGCCAUCUUGACUGUUGGGCCAAAGUCAGCCGGCAGUCCGUUUGCGAAUUUCUCAAUUUUGGAAAGUUCGGUUGGCACUAGGUAUGGAAACAACUUCAUCUUUUCCGUAAAUGCAGCAGCAUAGUCAUCGAUGCUCAUUCUCCCCUUCUUCAAAUUUUGGAACUCAUUGUUCAGAUCAAUCAGGUCUAUCUCUGAACAGUACUGCGCCUUCAGUUGUUCCAAGAACUCAUCCCAUGACAUUUUCAGAGCUUCUCCCCGUGGCAUUGUAUCUGCCAAUAGCUUCCACCAGCUCAAGACUCCAGUUUUCAAUUGUCUCACAGCGAAGACAGUCUUCUGCUUCUCGCUGCAGUCGCAGCUCUCAAACACCAUCUCCAUCUCGGAGAUCCAGUCCAUAAUCUCAACAGGCUUUGGGCUUCCUGAGAGACUUGGUGGUUUCGCACCCAAGAAAUUUUUGUACAUCCGCCCAUCCUUGUUGUUUCUCCCUUCUGGGCCAUCCUUUUGCUCACCUUGAGUCCCUACUUGACUCACUUGGCGGCUAUAGUUCCCUUCCUCAGAUGGCUCGGGAACUGGCUCCGUCGGUUCAACAUGUAUGGUAGGUUCGUCCCUAUUUUCGUGGAGCAUCCGUCUCAUUUCUUCCCUUUGUUCAGCUAGCAUAGCCUGAAUCAUGGCUUGAACUCCAGCCAUGGUGACUGGCUCAGGUGCAACUUCUUCAACAACAGGUAUUUGCUGAACCACUGGGGGUUGGUUCCUACCUCCAUUUGCGUUCACGUUUCCGCUACGGGUCCUUGCCAUCUUGAUCUAUACACCGAAUAAGGUGAAUUUAGAUCUUUAUUUAGGAUAGACGUUUUAAAUCGUCCUUAUCACUCCGAAACGUUUACAUGCUAGUUCUAAUAUCGUAGUCGUACGUUUAGAAUCCUAAACACAUAAGGUUUCCAGAUCCGGUCGGCAACAGACCAUAGAUCCGAACAAUUAACAGCAUAUUAUGCACAAAGCAUUUAGCACAUAAAAGCAUUUUAGGCACAAUUCCUAAAAUAAGCUAGUGCUCACACCUCACAAUCAUCGCUUAGCAUUCUAAGUUUAAGUCUAGAAAUCCUACAAAUUCCUAGUUCGCUUAAACUAAUGCUCUGAUACCAACUGUGACAUCCCCAAAAUCACGGCCAGAAAAGACCGGUUUGUUUAUGCUUUGUUUAAAAAUCAGAGUUACAUUUUAAAUGAAAGUGUUGCGGAAUUUGUCCCAAAACAAAAAUAUGAUAAAGAUUUAUCAAAAGCAUUUCCAUAGAAAUGUAUUUCAUUAAAAGACUCGGGAUGUCAUGUUCGUACAGAUCAAAAGCAUAAACAGUACAAUAUAAGCCUUACUACAUUAUUUCAUAUCUACAGGCCUAUAUCCGUAAUCCCUCGUCCAAAACAUCACACCUAUGCUCAUGCGCCACUACCUGUAAUACAUAAAACUGAGUGGGUCAGGCUUGGGAGCCUGGUGAGCACAUAGGGUUUUCAACCCACAAUAAAUAAGUUUAUUAAUUUCAUCGAUCAACAAUAACCCGAUUACCCGUUCCCGUUAUCCUCACUUUACGUCCCUAAACACCUAUCAUAAGGGACCUAGCCUAAGGAUCAUCAUCGGGACGGACACUACUGCUAAGGGGAUUCCUCAGCAAUAAAUGUCCUAAAGGCAACCAUGUGGGGGAUGGAGUACACCGGUGAACAUAUCGUUCACAAACACCUACAGGUUGCGAGCCUGCUAGUGUUCCACUGGACUGUCUAGAAGAGUCCGUGGUCGUCAUCCAUACUCCGCUAGAUGACAGAAUCAACAACAUCAACAUCGAGGCCUCUCAUCAUUUUAUCACACAUCACCUAUUGCAUCUACCCAUGUUUUACCCCAACAUUUUCGUAGAUAUAAAAUACAUAUACAGUUUAAAUCAUUGAAAACAUGUAUAACAACGUUCAUCUAGCAUAGAUAGCAAGUAUUCAGAUAAUAUGCACACAUAGCACGUAAUUUAUAUAAAAUACUUCAUAUCUAUGUGUAAGUUGAAAGUAACUAUGCACUCACUUGUUAAGGUGAUGAUUCCAAAAUCGGGCAGCGCUUGCUUCUAACGAUUCUAUUUUCCUUCGACGAAACCUAGCAUUAUUAUCGCUAAAUUUUAGUCUAAUAUUUACCGUGACCAACUAUUAGUCUUAGUAUUAUUAUUAUUAUAUAAGCGUUAAACAAUAUUUUCCAACCACUAUGUACAGACAGGGGCCAGACAUAAAACACCGGAGGGCAGGACCAUUUUGGCAUAUAGCACUUCUGAAAUCCAACAACCCUAUGCGGCCCUUUAAACCAGAUUCCCCGUACCGCGAGUAGUUAAAAAAAAAUUUAUAACGACACUUAUAUAAGUUAUAAUAAUAGCUCAAAUAUUUAUUAUAAGUUCAUAAUAACAAUACUAAUUUUAAAUAUAAGCUAUAUUAAAAUAAGGUAAGCAUAACUUACUUACAAGGGGGUUUUAGCUAGGAGUCGGGCUCUGCAGGGGCAGAACUUCGUCGCUGAAUCUUUCUAAGAAAGAUUCGUGCAGCGCUUCAGCGCUCACCUUACUAUACUAAGCUACAGAAAGAGAAGUCGAAUCACGAGGGACCGAAAUGCUCGGGGGAUAAGGAGAGAAAGACUCUUGAAUCAAGAGAAUGGUGCAAGAAAUAUGAGAGCCCAAGGCUCUUAUUUAUACUAAUUGAAUUUUCAAAAACUACCCUCCAUAAUUACUUAAUGACCUUUUAGUUAUAUAAACAACUAAACACCCCUCUAUAAUACUAUUAUAAAUGGAUUUAAUGAUAUUUGUACUAAACUAAUGUCGAAAGAACUCAACAUUAGUCUUAUAAUGACCGCAUCGUCGAUACCUUUCUAAUGAUAUAUACAUAUGUAUAUAUAUGUGUACGUAUACAUGAUUUAUACUUUAUUUUAAUACGUAAAUAUGCUAUUAUAAUUUGUAACUCGUUCAUACGAACUCCGUUUUUGACGUUCUUUAUAUCCACGCGUAGGUGAAGACGUACUCUACAACUUUCGUUUAGACUCCGUCGGCUAAUUUUGACUUUAUUUUUAAAGUUAUAUUUUUAACAAGCCGGGACAGGAUUGGUCUGUUUAAAAUCUCAUAACUUCUUCAUACGAAGUCAGAUUUGGGCGUUCUUUUUAUCGAUGUUCUUAGUUUAACAUAUUCUACGACUUUCGUUUAGAUCACUAAGGCUAAAUCUCGCUCUAUCGUAAAUUCACUAUUCACGCUUCCCGGUAUCGUGCCGGUUCUGUCGUGAAACUUCGACGGGUCAUAACUUCUUCGUUAUAACUCGGAUUUCGGCGUUCCUUAUAUGCACGGAAACCUUGAGACAUAUUCUACAACUUUAUGUAGAGAUAUCGGGCUUAUCUUACACUUUAAUUUUGACGCUUAUUUUUAUUAUUUAUUAAUUAUACAUUUAUAAUUAAAUUAUAAGCACAUAAAUACACAUAAUUCACAUAAUACUCAAAUAUUUCAUCUUUAUUACUUCAAAAAGAGUUACAAGAGUUGACCUA
rnacentral:lncRNA from 1 species